ACAGUUACUGUUUCUAUCGCUUCUAUUUAUAGAAGAGGAAAGUCCGGACAAGAUAGAGAACCAUAGCGGAUAACAUCCGUCCACAAUUGUGAGGACAAGUGCAACAGAAAGUAUGUACAGUUCGGCUGUAGUGAAAUCAUGUAAACUCUAUGGCUUGAAAUGCCAUGUAUACUGAGGACUGAAGCUUUCUCGGCUGACUCAGGGGGUAGGCAGUUUGAAAUAAAAAGUAAUUUUUAUUCUAGAUAAAUGAUAGAACCCAUUAGGGAACAGAAUCCGGCUUACUAGUAACUAUAUAA
rnacentral:RNase_P_RNA from 1 species